rnacentral:rRNA from 1 species
AGUUUGAUCCUGGCUCAGGACGAACGCUGGCGGCGCGCUUAACACAUGCAAGUCGAGCGAGAACCAGUCCUUCGGGACUGGGGAAAGCGGCGAACGGGUGAGUAACACGUGAGUAAUCUGCCCUCGGCACCGGGAUAGCCCGGGGAAACCCGGAUUAAUACUGGAUGGCCUUUCGAGUCUUCGGGCUCGUCAGAAAGGGUGGCUUCGGCUUCCGGCUGAGGAGGAGCUCGCGGCGGAUUAGCUUGUUGGCGGGGUAAUGGCCCACCAAGGCGACGAUCCGUAGCUGGUCUGAGAGGACGAUCAGCCACACUGGGACUGAGACACGGCCCAGACUCCUACGGGAGGCAGCAGUGGGGAAUCUUGCGCAAUGGGCGAAAGCCUGACGCAGCGACGCCGCGUGCGGGAAGAAGGCCUUCGGGUUGUAAACCGCUUUCAGGAGGGACGAAGCCACUCGGGUUAAGAGCCCAGAGGGUGACGGUACCUCCAGAAGAAGCCCCGGCUAACUACGUGCCAGCAGCCGCGGUAAUACGUAGGGGGCAAGCGUUGUCCGGAUUUAUUGGGCGUAAAGCGCGUGUAGGCGGCCAGGUAGGUCGGCUGUGAAAACUCGAGGCUCAACCUCGAGAUGUCGGCCGAAACCAUCUGGCUAGAGUCCGGAAGAGGAGAGUGGAAUUCCCGGUGUAGCGGUGAAAUGCGCAGAUAUCGGGAAGAACACCCGUGGCGAAGGCGGCUCUCUGGGACGGUACUGACGCUGAGACGCGAAAGCGUGGGGAGCGAACAGGAUUAGAUACCCUGGUAGUCCACGCCGUAAACGAUGGGAACUAGGUGUGGGCGGUGUCGACUCCGUCCGUGCCGAAGCUAACGCAUUAAGUUCCCCGCCUGGGGAGUACGGCCGCAAGGCUAAAACUCAAAUGAAUUGACGG